AUUGAACGCUGGCGGCAGGCCUAACACAUGCAAGUCGAGCGGAGCGGCGGACGGGUGAGUAAUACCUAGGAAUCUGCCUGGUAGUGGGGGAUAACGUCCGGAAACGGGCACUAAUACCGCAUACUAUCAGAUGAGCCUAGAUCGGAUUAGCUAGUGGGUGGGGUAAAGGCAUACCAAGGCGACGAUCCGUAACUGGUCUGAGAGGAUGAUCAGUCACACUGGAACUGAGACACGGUCCAGACUCCUAAGGGAGGCAGCAGUGGGGAAUAUUGGACAAUGGGCGAAAGCCUGAUCCAGCCAUGCCGCGUGUGUGAAGAAGGUCUUAGGAUUGUAAAGCACUUUAAGUUGGGAGGCGUUACCCACAGAAUAAGCACCGGCUAACUCCGUGCCAGCAGCCGCGGUAAUAC
rnacentral:rRNA from 1 species